GAGAAUUUAUUUUAAUGAAAAUAUUAGAUUGUAAAUCUAAAGAUGAUUAUUCUUG
rnacentral:tRNA from 1 species